UGGUGACCUUCACCUAGAAUCCUGACUACUGGGAAGAUUGAGGCUGGUGAGUAGUUCUAAGCCGCAAUGGGCUAAGCUGACUGGGCAUUCUGAUUAAGUCUGAUACCAACAUGGUGAGACCCUGGAAGUGGGGUACCUCCAGGUUGCCUAAGGAGGGAUGGAUUGGACCAAGUUGGAAAUGGAAUAAGUCAAAGGUCUCAUCUUGAUUAUUAUUGGGAUUAGGCUUGUGAGCAGCCCUUGUACUCAGCCUAGGUGAGAUAGGGAGACCCAAUCU
rnacentral:SRP_RNA from 1 species